rnacentral:rRNA from 1 species
GACGAACGCUGGCGGCGUGCCUAAUACAUGCAAGUAGGACGCUGAAGGAGGAGCUUGCUUCUCUGGAUGAGUUGCGAACGGGUGAGUAACGCGUAGGUAACCUGCCUGGUAGCGGGGGAUAACUAUUGGAAACGAUAGCUAAUACCGCAUAAUAGUAGAUGUUGCAUGACAUUUGCUUAAAAGGUGCAAUUGUAUCACUACCAGAUGGACCUGCGUUGUAUUAGCUAGUUGGUGGGGUAACGGCUCACCAAGGCGACGAUACAUAGCCGACCUGAGAGGGUGAUCGGCCACACUGGGACUGAGACACGGCCCAGACUCCUACGGGAGGCAGCAGUAGGGAAUCUUCGGCAAUGGACGGAAGUCUGACCGAGCAACGCCGCGUGAGUGAAGAAGGUUUUCGGAUCGUAAAGCUCUGUUGUAAGAGAAGAACGAGUGUGAGAGUGGAAAGUUCACACUGUGACGGUAUCUUACCAGAAAGGGACGGCUAACUACGUG